GUGUGCUCAAGAUGACCCGGGGACCAUUUAGAUUAAAAGAAAAAAAAUAGCUUCUCUUCAGCUUUUUUAGUUUUUUACUUUUUCCCCUUUUCUUGCUAGGUGGAUAUACACAUGAAAACAUUAAAAAAGGAAAGAAAGGGGCAUCCAUCUAAAGGCCAAUCAAACAUCCUUUUCGCGACAUUAUGUCACGAAAUUCAUAUGCGGCUGGUUGAUGAAGCACAUUUUUGGAUGAAAUUUCAGUUAUGAGAUGCUGUAGUUGGGAAACAUUUAAUGUUGUAAAUUCCCAUAUUAAAUGUAAGUUUGUGUUUGUGUUUGUGUUUGUGUUUGUGUAAAUCUAAUGACGUGGUUUUGGACAAUUAUGGUAUUGGAAAGGAAGAGAAAAUUAAAGAAAAGGGAAAGAGAUUAAGGGAAACAGAAUCACAGAUGGGUUAUGUGACGAUUAAUUAGGAGGUAAAAUACGGCGGGCUUUGCGUUAAUGUAGGUUUAGACUUUGUAUUAGCCAAAACUUUUCUUUCUUUCCCAUGAGAUAUGCUUGCUUUACAUGA